UUUAAAUGACUUUUAUUUUUUCAUUUUACAUUUUUUUUUUUUUUUAUCGAACAGCCAGUUCUCUCUCUCUU
rnacentral:ribozyme from 13 species